rnacentral:rRNA from 1 species
CUUCGGAGCUAGGACCGGCGCACGGGUGCGUAACGCGUAUGCAAUCUACCUUUUCAGAGGGAUAGCCCAGAGAAAUUUGGAUUAAUACCUCAUAGUAUGUGAGAAUNNNNNNNUUUUCACAUUAAAGUUCCAACGGUAAAAGAUGAGCAUGCNNNCCAUUAGCUUGUUGGUAAGGUAACGGCUUACCAAGGCAACGAUGGGUAGGGGUCCUGAGAGGGAGAUCCCCCACACUGGUACUGAGACACGGACCAGACUCCUACGGGAGGCAGCAGUGAGGAAUAUUGGACAAUGGGCGCAAGCCUGAUCCAGCCAUGCCGCGUGCAGGAUGACGGUCCUAUGGAUUGUAAACUGCUUUUGUACAGGAAGAAACACUCCCUCGUGAGGGAGCUUGACGGUACUGUAAGAAUAAGGAUCGGCUAACUCCGUGCCAGCAGCCGCGGUAAUACGGAGGAUCCAAGCGUUAUCCGGAAUCAUUGGGUUUAAAGGGUCCGUAGGCGGUUUAAUAAGUCAGUGGUGAAAGCCCAUCGCUCAACGGUGGAACGGCCAUUGAUACUGUUAAACUUGAAUUAUUAGGAAGUAACUAGAAUAUGUAGUGUAGCGGUGAAAUGCUUAGAGAUUACAUGGAAUACCAAUUGCGAAGGCAGGUUACUACUAAUGGAUUGACGCUGAUGGACGAAAGCGUGGGUAGCGAACAGGAUUAGAUACCCUGGUAGUCCACGCCGUAAACGAUGGAUACUAGCUGUUGGGAGCAAUCUCAGUGGCUAAGCGAAAGUGAUAAGUAUCCCACCUGGGGAGUACGUUCGCAAGAAUGAAACUCAAAGGAAUUGACGGGGGCCCGCACAAGCGGUGGAGCAUGUGGUUUAAUUCGAUGAUACGCGAGGAACCUUACCAAGGCUUAAAUGUAGUUUGACCGAUUUGGAAACAGAUCUUUCGCAAGACAAAUUACAAGGUGCUGCAUGGUUGUCGUCAGCUCGUGCCGUGAGGUGUCAGGUUAAGUCCUAUAACGAGCGCAACCCCUGUUGUUAGUUGCCAGCGAGUCAUGUCGGGAACUCUAACAAGACUGCCAGUGUAAACUGUGAGGAAGGUGGGGAUGACGUCAAAUCAUCACGGCCCUUACGCCUUGGGCUACACACGUGCUACAAUGGCCGGUACAGAGAGCAGCNANUGGGUGACCAGGAGCGAAUCUACAAAACCGGNNNCNGUUCGGAUCGGAGNNNNCAACUCGACUCCGUGAAGCUGGAAUCGCUAGUAAUCGGAUAUCAGCCAUGAUCCGGUGAAUACGUUCCCGGGCCUUGACACACCGCCCGUCAAGCCAUGGAAGCUGG